UACGAAGGGGGCUAGCGUUGCUCGGAAUCACUGGGCGUAAAGGGUGCGUAGGCGGGAUCUUAAGUCAGCGGUGAAAGCCUGGAGCUCAACUCCAGAACUGCCUUUGAUACUGGGAUUCUUGAGUCCGGGAGAGGUGAGCGGAACUGCGAGUGUAGAGGUGAAAUUCGUAGAUAUUCGCAAGAACACCAGUGGCGAAGGCGGCUCACUGGCCCGAUACUGACGCUGAGGCACGAAAGCGUGGGUAGCAAACAGG
rnacentral:rRNA from 1 species